rnacentral:lncRNA from 1 species
AUAGCAACCUUAUGUCUUCAAGGUACUAAAAUGUCUCUACUUUUUAAAACAUUAUAUUUACAAAUUUUAUAUAAAUUCAUAGUACAUUUUGAAUCCAACUUGUCAAUUCACUCAGAUGUUUCCACAGCUAUAGGCCUUGGAGCCUAUCCCACUGAUUAAAGAUAGGGACUAGCACAUGAUUAAACCAAAAUAACUUCAUUUACUUUUACUGUUUCCCUUGAAAGGAUGCCUUCAUACUCCUUAUAAUCAGAGGUUAAAAAUAGAGAACAUAUUGAAACAUAGAGACCUUGCUAUCACAACUACAAUCAAAGCCAGCAAGUUAAUAUAAACUAGCCACUUGAGUAUAUAACUGCAACAUAUACAGAGUUAAAUACUCAUUGGGAUCAAUAUAAAUGUGAGGAAAUUCAGUCAAUAAUAUUGAAAUCAUACGGUCACUAUUUUCCCCUAGUGUAGUGAUUUCAGUACUUGGGAAUACACCAUGCUAUGGUCUGAAUGCAUACGGCCGUCCAAAAUUCUUACGUUGGAACCUAAUACUCAAGAUGAUAGUAUUAAAAUGUGAGGCCUUUUGAGAACUCAUUAGGUCCUAAGCGCUCCAUCCUCAUGAAUGGAUUAGUGCUCUUAUAAAAGAGGUGACUAGAGCAUCCUAGUGCCUUUUGCUCUUUCUGCCUUUCUCCCUUAUGAGAAUAAAACAAGAUGUCAUCCUGGAAGCAGAUAGCAAGCUCACCAGACACUGUGUCUGCUAGUAUCUCGAUCUUGGACUUCCCAGCCUCCAGAACCAUGAGAAAUAAAUUGUUAUUAUUUAUAAAUUAUGCAGGUAUAUAGCAGC